AGAUUUCCAGGGCGAUGUCUUGAGCUAGGGAUCCAUGGGGUUCUGUCUUCGACCGUGUAGUUCAGGCAGGAGUUGGAGGAGAGAAGUUGAGCUCCAGUCCUUCUAUUCCUCCAUCUUAAUCCAAGAUCGCAGGAGUUGUUGCUGAACAAGGAUGAGACCCAGAUGUCCCAGCUCCAAUCCUGGCAAAGGAGAACCCAGGGCAGCGUCCGCUGUCCUUAGAUAUUUGCAUGGCUGGGAGAAGCCACAGAAAUUGGCUGGAGAAUGUUUGCAGACCUGGGUCAUCAUCUGAACCAUUUGCUGAGCUCUAAAAACAGGGAUCCCUGGGCUACCAUUCUUUGGAGGAACUAAUGAGCCGUGAAUGCCUCUCCGCUCUGCCAGCUUCAUGCCACCUCAUGACUGCUGCCACCUGCUCAAGAAGAUGGAGGCCUGGAGUUCCCAUCAUGGCUCAGUGGUAAUGAACCCAACUAGUAUCCAUGAGGACAUGGGUCAAUCUCUGGUCUCGCUCAGUGGGUUAAGGACCUGGCAUUGCUGUGGCUGUGGUGAAGUCCGGCAGCUAUAGCUCCUAUUCAACUCUUGGCCCAGGAACUUCCACAUGCUGGAGGUGAGGCCCCAAAAAGACAAAAGAAAAAAAAAAAAAGGAUGGAGGCCUGUGGUCAUCCAGGCAGGUGUGUGAAGUGGAGGCACAGACUGGGGGUGACAAGGCAAAGGUGGCCCUUGCAGACAGGCUGGAGCUGGUUUGGGGCUCUGGAAAGGAUGGAUGCCCCAGCCCAGCCCGCUGGUAGGUUGCAGCUGCUGCUCUGACCUCCUUGCCUUUUCCUCUUCA
rnacentral:lncRNA from 1 species